AGGUGACCUGCGGAAGGAUCAUUACCGAGUUUUCGAGCUUCGGCUCGACUCUCCCACCCUUUGUGAACGUACCUCUGUUGCUUUGGCGGCUUCGGCCGCCAAAGGACCUUCAAACUCCAGUCAGUAAACGCAGACGUCUGAUAAACAAGUUAAUAAACUAAAACUUUCAACAACGGAUCUCUUGGUUCUGGCAUCGAUGAAGAACGCAGCGAAAUGCGAUAAGUAAUGUGAAUUGCAGAAUUCAGUGAAUCAUCGAAUCUUUGAACGCACAUUGCGCCCCUUGGUAUUCCGGGGGGCAUGCCUGUUCGAGCGUCAUUACAACCCUCAAGCUCUGCUUGGAAUUGGGCACCGUCCUCACUGCGGACGCGCCUCAAAGACCUCGGCGGUGGCUGUUCAGCCCUCAAGCGUAGUAGAAUACACCUCGCUUUGGAGCGGUUGGCGUCGCCCGCCGGACGAACCUUCUGAACUUUUCUCAAGGUUGACCUCGGAUCAGGUAGGGAUACCCGCUGAACUUAAGCAUAUCAAUAAGCGGAGG
rnacentral:rRNA from 1 species